rnacentral:rRNA from 1 species
GACGAACGCUGGCGGCGUGCUUAACACAUGCAAGUCGAGCGGUAAGGCCCUUUCGGGGGUACGACGAGCGGCGAACGGGUGAGUAACACGUGGGUGACCUGCCCUCAGCUCUGGGAUAAGCCUGGGAAACCGGGUCUAAUACUGGAUAUGACUCCAUGACGCAUGUUGGUGGGGUGGAAAGCCUUGUGCGGCUGAGGAUGGGCCCGCGGCCUAUCAGCUUGUUGGUGGGGUGAGGCCUACCAAGGCGACGACGGGUAGCCGGCCUGAGAGGGCGACCGGCCACACUGGGACUGAGACACGGCCCAGACUCCUACGGGAGGCAGCAGUGGGGAAUCUUGCGCAA